UACGUAGGGUCCGAGCGUUGUCCGGAAUUAUUGGGCGUAAAGAGCUCGUAGGCGGUUUGUCGCGUCGAAUGUGAAAUCCCGGGGCUCAACCCCGGGUCUGCAUUCGAUACGGGCAGACUAGAGUUCGGUAGGGGAGUCUGGAAUUCCUGGUGUAGCGGUGGAAAUGCGCAGAUAUCAGGAGGAACACCGGUGGCGAAGGCGGGACUCUGGGCCGAUACUGACGCUGAGGAGCGAAAGCGUGGGGAGCAAACAGG
rnacentral:rRNA from 1 species